rnacentral:rRNA from 1 species
UACAGAGGUCUCAAGCGUUGUUCGGAUUCACUGGGCGUAAAGGGUGCGUAGGCGGGUCUUUAAGUCAGGGGUGAAAUCCUGGAGCUCAACUCCAGAACUGCCUUUGAUACUGAGGAUCUUGAGUUCGGGAGAGGUGAGUGGAACUGCGAGUGUAGAGGUGAAAUUCGUAGAUAUUCGCAAGAACACCAGUGGCGAAGGCGGCUCAUUGGCCCGAUACUGACGCUGAGGUGCGAAAGCGUGGGGAGCAAACAGG